AUCCCGAAAUCCUGGAACCUCUAGGUCUUGGCCAGUUAACUAGCAGCGGGCUCUGCAGUGGACCUCGAGGUUUGCUGAGAGCCGUGUUCUUGCGGCGGAGGCAGAAGCGAGACGUCUCCGGACGCCCUCCCACGCGGCGGGACCCCGCAAUACCCGGGUCUGGCCUGGACCUCGCCAGGGGAAGAAGUAACCUGCGGGAGAGUCAGGCAUCUGUGUCCUUCAAGGAUGUGACUGUGGAGUUUACCCAGGAGGAGUGGCGGCAGAUGAGCCCUGCUCGGAGGACCCUGUACAGAGAUGUGAUGCUGGAGAACUACAGCCACCUUGUGUCUUCGGGGCUGCACCUGCAGCAUGCAGAAGUUCCCAAGCUAAGGGUCAAAUCGGAACUACAGCUGCCAGCCUACAUCACAGCCACAGCAACUCAGGAUUCAAGUCGCAUCUGGGCCCAACACCACAGCUCACGCCAACACCAGAUCCUUAACCCACUGAGUGGGACCAGGGAUUGAACUCGAAUCCUUACGGAUACUGGUCAGAUUGGUUUCUGCUGUGCCACAACAGGAACUCCUAUUCAUCAUAAGUGGAGAAUAGAAGUCAUUCCCCCUUCCCCCCAUGAAAUUCCCUACCUACCUGCAUAUACCAUCUCCUCUCUACUGUUUCAACACAGAGUUGGAGUUAAGACCAUGGAGUUAAAGGACGCAGGUUCAAGGUCCAGCUCUUCCACUUGGUAGCAAUGUGAUCCUGGGUAGUUUGUUUAGCCUUUCUGGGCCUCAGAUUCCUCCAGAGAAAAUUAGGGGUAAUUUUAGAGCCAUCUCCUUGAGUUCUUAUAAACUUAUAAGGGAACGCCAGUGACCACUACAGUGAUCAGUAAAGCAAGCCUUGCGGUUAAGCAAUUCUACCAAUUUCAUUUGCUUUUCUCUUGUUGAAUUCAAGUGGAGAAAAAUUGAAUGCUUUUUAUUUUUGAAAAGAAUUUAUAGUAAGAUUCGAUUUUUCUAGAAUUAUAUCUCUACACAUAUAAGAAUACAUACAGACAGAUGAUGACCUAGGUGACAUCUGCCAAAUGUUUUUUUAUUAUUAUUAUUACUCAAUGAAUUUAUUACAUGUAUAGUUGUACAAUGAUCAUCACAAUCCAGUUUUAUAGGACUUCCAUCCCACAACCCCAGCGCAUCCCCUCGCCCCCCAAACUGUCUCCUUUGGAGACCAUAAGUUUUUCAAAGUCUGUGAGUCAGUAUCUGGUCUGCAAAGAAGUUCAUUCUGUCCUUUUUUCAGAUUCCACAUGUCAGUGAAAGCAUUUGAUGUUGGGUGUCUCAUUGUAUGGCUGACUUCACUUAGCAUGAUAAUUUCUAGGUCCAUCCAUGUUGCUAAAAAUGCCAGUAUUUUGUUCCUCUUAAUGGCUGAGUAAUAUUCCAUUGUGUAAAUGUACCACAUCUUCUUGAUCCACUCCUCUGUCGAUGGACAUUUAGGUUGUUUCCUUGUCUUGGCUAUUGAAAAUAGUGCUGCAAUGAACAUUGGAGUACAUGUGUUCAUGUGUCUUUGCCAGUCAUGGUUUUCUCUGGAUAGAUGCGCAGGAGUUGCCAAAUGUUAAUACUGAUUAUUUUUGGGUAGUUGAUAGUGAAAGUUAUGCUUGGUUUUUUUGUUUCUUAUUUUCCUCUUUAACUUUUCUGUAUACUUAAUUUUUUGUGAUAAACGUGAAUCAGUUUUUCAAAACCAAUACUUUUUAAUUGGGUCCCUGCCUUCUGAGCUAUCACAGAGUAUGGCUAGGGAGAGGGAAAUUAACCAGAGGCCCACUGAUCAUGGGUCUCAUACUUUACAAAGAUAAGAAAAUUGGUUUUUUCAGUGUUCUCUUCAAAAUGAUGACCCAGGUACAAAAUAUUGUACCUGGCUACACUGACAAAAUUAAACAUUAAAAUAAAGCACAUUUUCUUCUUUUUUA
ensembl:lncRNA